rnacentral:rRNA from 1 species
GAUUGAGUUUGAUCCUGGCUCAGAGCGAACGCUGGCGGCAGGCCUAACACAUGCAAGUCGAACGGACCCUUCGGGGUUAGUGGCGGACGGGUGAGUAACACGUGGGAACGUGCCUUUAGGUUCGGAAUAGCUCCUGGAAACGGGUGGUAAUGCCGAAUGUGCCCUUCGGGGGAAAGAUUUAUCGCCUUUAGAGCGGCCCGCGUCUGAUUAGCUAGUUGGUGAGGUAACGGCUCACCAAGGCGACGAUCAGUAGCUGGUCUGAGAGGAUGACCAGCCACACUGGGACUGAGACACGGCCCAGACUCCUACGGGAGGCAGCAGUGGGGAAUCUUGCGCAAUGGGCGAAAGCCUGACGCAGCCAUGCCGCGUGAAUGAUGAAGGUCUUAGGAUUGUAAAAUUCUUUCACCGGGGACGAUAAUGACGGUACCCGGAGAAGAAGCCCCGGCUAACUUCGUGCCAGCAGCCGCGGUAAAAU